UUCAGAUUGAGCCAUCAAUCUGGGUGGUGUUAGGUCCACGUUAUAGCAUCCUUAAAGGUAUAUUCAGAUUGAGCCAUCAAUCUGGGUGGUGUUAGAUCCACGUUAUAGCAUCCUUAAAGGUAUAUUCAGAUUGAGCCAUCAAUCUGGGUGGUGUUAGAUCCACGUUAUAGCAUCCUUAAAGGUAUAUUCAGAUUGAGCCAUCAAUCUGGGUGGUGUUAGAUCGACGUUAUAGCAUCCUUAAAGGUAUAUUCAGAUUGAGCCAUCAAUCUGGGUGGUGUUAGGUCCACGUUAUAGCAUCCUUAAAGGUAUAUUCAGAUUGAGCCAUCAAUGCGAUCUCAGCAAAACGUUGGGUAAAACGCCCUUUUUAAAAAGCCACAUUGUGGGCUGUCCAGCGCGCUGCUCUAUGAGUUGAAUCCCUGCCUAAAGAUGUAUUAGUGUCCUGUCAACACAACCGCAGUAAACAAUGAACAGACAUGACCAAACAGCCUGCAGCUGAUACCAGUCACUCUACUGGUAUUUCAGAUACAUGUCUUCAUUCUGUUGACGGGGACUCAACACUAUGCAGCGUUUAGACCUACUGCAACAUUCCAUCCCCUCCGUUCACUUCAGUAGUAUGUGGCUGUGUGUCCCAAACGGCACCCUACUCCCCCUACAUAGUGCACUACAUUUUGACCAGAGCCCUAUGGUGAGCCGUGUAUAGGGAAUAGGUUGGCAUUUGGGCCGCAGUCUGUUUACUUCUCCCAUUUCCUCCUCCUCCUCCUAACUGUGUUUGGUUGUGACCUCCCGUUGCAGCAUCACCAUGGGACAGCUGUACGAGAAGGAGAAGGACGAGGACGGGUUUUUAUACGUGGCGUACAGUGGAGAGAACACCUUCGGUGUCUAGACCCGCCGUCGUCGUCGUCUUCGUCAUCAUAAGCCUUACUUACGACAGAAUACAACACCCACCACCCUAACUCACACCCCACCCCUGGGAGAAGCCCUGGGAAACCCCAGAGAAAAGAAGUGAAAUAAAUAGAUGAAGAGAGUGGAUCAGUUGAGUGAGAACCAUCAUGAUGUGUGUCACCAGUCUGUCUAAUCUAUUCCUGCACAUGUUUUGUAUCGAUGCUGUACACAUUCAUUUAUUAAUAUGUUUAUUAUUAUUAUUAUUAUUAUUAUUAUUAUUAUUAUUAUUAUUAUUAUUAUUAUUAUUAUGAUGUUAUGUGUAGUGAUACAAAUUGGAAUGACUGUUUUGGUUUUGUCUGACGUUUUGUGCUUUACAGUUUAGGAGCUUUUGAGUUUGUUUGUUUGUUUCAUUCGUGAAAUAAUAUUUUUUGUUUUGCUUUUGAAGUUUCACUUUUAGUUUGGCUUUUAUCCUUGAAGAUUUAUAUUUCAAAUAAUUUUAACUAUUUGAACGGUAAGGUAGCUGGAUGACCUAACCAAUAAAAAAAUGUGAAUGA